AGCGAACGCUGGCGGCAGGCUUAACACAUGCAAGUCGAGCGAGCGGCAGACGGGUGAGUAACGCGUGGGAACGUACCUUUUGGUUCGGAACACCACAGGGAAACUUGUGCUAAUACCGGAUCCGAAAGAUUGGCCCGCGUCUGAUUAGCUAUUUGGUAGGGUAAUGGCCUACCAUGGCGACGAUCAGUAGCUGGUCUGAGAGGAUGACCAGCCACACUGGAACUGAGACACGGUCCAGACUCCUACGGGAGGCAGCAGUGGGGAAUAUUGCACAAUGGGCGCAAGCCUGAUGCAGCCAUGCCGCGGGUAUGAAGAAGGCCUUCGGGUUGUAAAGUACUUUCAGCGGGGAGGCGUUACCCGAAGAAGAAGCACCGGCUAACUCCGGGCCAGCCGCCGCGGUAAUAG
rnacentral:rRNA from 1 species